rnacentral:lncRNA from 1 species
GUUGAUCUUUAUGCUUCUUUUCAUUCCUAGUAACCUGUGGGGCAGAACUGCUGUGAACUGAAGAUUGGAGGUUGGUGGGAAAGGAAAGCUAUGCCUGGCCAUGUAUCCAGGAGUAUUGCAUAGUGCCUAUAUUUCUUUUGUGUUUGUUCUUUCCUUGUCUUGGACAAAUAAGUAUUCUGAGAAGAAAGUAGCAAGGCAACUGGUAUAUCCAUCUAAGCUAUCUGAGGUGCUACUGACAACCAGAGUGGGUAAGAGCGUUCACCAGGAGAGCAAUGACUAAUAAACGAGAAAGCUCUUGCAAUGAGAGGCAAAGACUUCAUUGAGAAGGCGGCAGUCGCUGGGAUUAUGAUUCCUCAUGACGGAAAAAAUGCUGGCUCUAAAUUCUAAAAAGGCUCUGAUCUUUACAACCAAGCCCAGAGCGAUCCCUAAGAAGUCUCAUGAAAACUUCUCAAAGAGAGAAAAGGACUACUGGGUCCAGGAUUCAGGAAGUAUCCCCUUAGCUUUACAUGUUCUCUACAAGGGGAUGGAGAAAAAUGCUUCCAUCAUUACCAAUAACCAGCUGUCACCAAGGGACAAAUAUGUCUGAGUCCUUGGAAUAAUAGUACUCUCCAGAACACCAACCUUGCUUCUGUCCUGCCCUCAAGGCCAUCAUUCAGAGAAGCAACUCUUGUGGUAAUAUAAUCUAUCAACUGCCUCUCUGGGUGCUGCAGGCUCCUGUUUCCUCAGAGCUACUGAAGUCCCAGAGAAGAAAGUUCUCAUCACUGAAGCCCUCGGUUCCAUCAAAUGCUUCAACAUUAGAAAUAGUUAUUGUUUUAUCCAUGGAAAUGAUACUAAAGUUGAUUUUUGCCAUCUACGUUUGUACUGUAUCCUAGGACCGCUGAACCCUUCCAUCUGACAUGGAUCUGAAAUUUCUAUAUGGUUUUCUUCUUUUCAAAUGUGAGGUCUGUGAGAGCAGACACUGUCUUGCUUGUUUUGUUUUUUUUUUUUUUGGUAUUCCCAAAGCAUAUAAUAAAUAUAUGCUUAAUAAAUGUUUCUUCA